GGACGGUGGAGCGUGCUGGCGCCCUUUGGGGGUCGGCUCCUCUCAAAUGCAUUCGCGGAAUUGACUUUGGUCCGUUUCGGUCAUCAGUGUGAUAAUCGUGUUACGCUGUCGGCCAGGAUCGAGGUGCCGCAUAUAAUGGUCUUCGGACAACCUCAUAUCAAUUUGACCUCAAAUCAGGUAGGACUACCCGCUGAACUUAA
rnacentral:misc_RNA from 1 species